UCAUAUAAUGAUGACUAUUUACCGCCCCAGUCUGACAUUCCAUGUUGAUUGGUCUUUAAUCUGAAUAUGA
ensembl:snoRNA SNORD31 Small nucleolar RNA SNORD31